AACGAACGCUGGCGGCGCGUUUUAAGCAUGCAAGUCGAACGAUAACCGGUUUUCGGACCGGGGAAAGUGGCGCACGGGUGAGUAACACGUAGAUAAUCUGCCUCUGUGUUGGGGAUAGCUUAUGGAAACAUGGGGUAAUACCGAAUGAGGUCUUGUUGCUGGUAGAGCGACGAGAAGAAAGGUGCUUAAGGCAUCGCACGGAGAUGAGUCUGCGGCUCAUUAGCUAGUUGGCGGGGUAAGAGCCCACCAAGGCAAUGAUGAGUAGCCGGCCUGAGAGGGUGGACGGCCACACUGGGACUGAGACACGGCCCAGACUCCUACGGGAGGCAGCAGCUAAGAAUCUUCCGCAAUGGGCGAAAGCCUGACGGAGCGACGCCGCGUGAACGAAGAAGGCCGAGAGGUUGUAAAGUUCUUUUCUUGAGGAAGAAUAACCCGGGGAGGCAAUGCCCUGGGGAUGACGCUACUUGAGGAAUAAGCCCCGGCUAAUUACGUG
rnacentral:rRNA from 1 species